CUGAGUUGUUGACACGAGCUGUUGCUGGUCCUCAAACCUGGGGGCACGUGCACGCUCUGUUCACACAUCCACUCACACCUGUGCACCCUCUGUAGUUCUAUGGUCUGGGGGACACACGUCUCCCUCCUGUAGUUCUACGUCUUUACACAUACACGUUAAAGAAGUCUGUGGAAUGUACGCCGCGUUUAACGCAAUACAAUA
rnacentral:misc_RNA from 1 species